rnacentral:rRNA from 1 species
UACGUAGGGGGCUAGCGUUGUCCGGAUUCAUUGGGCGUAAAGAGCGUGUAGGCGGCCAGGUAGGUCAGCUGUGAAAGCUGGAGGCUCAACCUUCAGACGUCGGCUGAAACCAUCUGGCUAGAGUCCGGGAGAGGAGAGUGGAAUUCCUGGUGUAGCGGUGAAAUGCGCAGAUAUCAGGAAGAACACCAGUGGCGAAAGCGAGUCUCUGGAACGGUACUGACGCUGAGACGCGAAAGCGUGGGGAGCGAACAGG